rnacentral:rRNA from 1 species
ACAGCAGCAGCCGCGGUAAUACAGAGGGUGCGAGCGUUAAUCGGAUUUACUGGGCGUAAAGCGUGCGUAGGCGGCUUUUUAAGUCGGAUGUGAAAUCCCUGAGCUUAACUUAGGAAUUGCAUUCGAUACUGGGAAGCUAGAGUAUGGGAGAGGAUGGUAGAAUUCCAGGUGUAGCGGUGAAAUGCGUAGAGAUCUGGAGGAAUACCGAUGGCGAAGGCAGCCAUCUGGCCUAAUACUGACGCUGAGGUACGAAAGCAUGGGGAGCAAACAGGAUUAGAUACCCCGGUAGUCCCUGUCUCUUAUAU